AUGAAGUAUAAGUAUAAAGAAAAUAUUAGGGCACAUCAUAGGAAAAUUGCUCAGAUCUAGAAAUGGAAUGAUUCGGGAGGGGCAUGUACAAUACAGAAGGACAAAGUAAAGAGUGACAUCACAGCAGAGACACAGUGACAUCACAGCAGAGACACAGUGACAUCACAGCAGAGACACAGUGGCAUCACAGCAGAGACUCAGUGACACUGACACAACAGCAGACACAGGUGAC
rnacentral:lncRNA from 1 species